rnacentral:rRNA from 1 species
GAUGAACGCUGGCGGCGUGCCUAAUACAUGCAAGUCGAGCGAACAGACGAGGAGCUUGCUCCUCUGACGUUAGCGGCGGACGGGUGAGUAACACGUGUAUAACCUACCUAUAAGACUGGGAUAACUUCGGGAAACCGGAGCUAAUACCGGAUAACAUGUUGAACCGCAUGGUUCAACAGUGAAAGACGGUCUUGCUGUCACUUAUAGAUGGAUCCGCGCCGCAUUAGCUAGUUGGUAAGGUAACGGCUUACCAAGGCAACGAUGCGUAGCCGACCUGAGAGGGUGAUCGGCCACACUGGAACUGAGACACGGUCCAGACUACUACGGGAGGCAGCAGUAGGGAAUCUUCCGCAAUGGGCGAAAGCCUGACGGAGCAACGCCGCGUGAGUGAAGAAGGUCUUCGGAUCGUAAAACUCUGUUAUUAGGGAAGAACAAAUGUGUAAGUAACUAUGCACGUCUUGACGGUACCUAAUCAGAAAGCCACGGCUAACUACGUG